rnacentral:lncRNA from 13 species
GCUGGAAUGAAGCUGCACACAAGUAGCAGAGCCGGGGCCGACCCAGGGCCUUUAGCAAGGGAAGAUGAGGGAGAAUAGCAAACCAAGGCAGCAGAGACAGCGGAGGGAGCUAUGGGCGGGGCUAAAGCGGCAGGCAGCCUCCGCCAUCGGUCCGGCAGCUAUGGGCGGGGCUAAAGCAUCAACCUCCGCCGNNGGCCCGGCAGCUAUGGGCGGGGCUAAAGCAUCAACCUCCGCCGUCGGCCCGGCAGCUAUGGGCGGGGCUAAAGCAUCAACCUCCGCAGUCAGCCCAGCAGCUAUGGGCGGGGCUAAAGCAUCAACCCCCGCAGUCGGCCGGCAGCUAUGGGCGGGGCUAAAGCAUCAACCCCCGCAGUCAGCCCAGCAGCUAUGGGCGGGGCUAAAGCAUCAACCUCCGCCGUCGGCCCGGCAGCUAUGGGCGGGGCUAAAGCAUCAACCUCCGCCGUCAGCCUUCCCCUUCUUGGGACACAGCACGGGGCGUCAGGGCUGGUGAGGGCCAAGCUCCUCCUUUACAAUCUGCUAAACUCAAGCCCAGGGAAAACAGGGACCUGCCCAAGGUCACACAGCCAUGGCAGAAACACCUGCUCUCCUGAACUUUCUAUAUUUAGGUAAAAUUAAGUACAAUAAGACUUUUAGAAGCUUCAUUAAAGAUUUUGUUUUUACCAAAAUAUGUACAGAUUUAGAAGAAAGUUCUUGAGCCAGGUGCAGUGCCGCAUGCCUGGAGUCCUAGUUACUCAAGAAUAGCAAGACCCUAUCAUUAAGAAGGAGAGGAAAGAAAGGAAGAAAAGAAAGAAAGGAAAGAGGGAGGGAGGGAGGGAGGAAGAAAGGAAGGGAGGCAGGGAGGGAAGGAGGGAGGGAGGGAGGGAGAAGAGUUUUUAUGUGUAGAGAUGUGCAUUAUGGGACUGAGCGCAACAGCUCGCGCCUGUAGUCCCAGCACUUUGGGAGGCCGAGAUGCGUGGAUCACUUGAGGUCAGGAGUUCAAGACCAGCCUGACCAACGUGGUGAAACCUCGUCUCUACUAAAAAUACAACAGUUACCCAGGCAUGGUGGCUCAUGCCUGUAAUCCCAGCUACUUGGGAGGCUGAGGCAGGAGAAUCACUUCAGCCUGGGAGGUGGAGGCUGCAGUGAGCCAAGAUCUUACCACUGUACUCCAGUCUGGGUGACAGAGUGAGAUUCUGUCUCAAAAAUAAUAAUAAUAAUAAUGGCCAACUGUUAUUUUUUCAAGGAAUGCCCCAGAGUAAUUGCUAAGCACUGAGAGGGAAAGAGUCAAUAGCAAUAGACUUAGCACAAGUAGCUUCUUUCAGCAACAAGAAUAAUAGAAGGAAAAUGGGAACUAUGUCUGUAACAACCGAAGGGGGAUGAGAGUAUUUUGGCGCAUGUACUCAAUAUUUACAAAUCUGUAAUAAAGUGAGCACAUGAAAAACA